GGGGAUAUAGCUCAGUUGGUAGAGUGCUUGACUCCACAAGGCCCUGGGUUCAAUCCCCAGCACCACCA
rnacentral:tRNA from 1 species